GACUCCCCAGUUCAGCUCUCAACAUGAGGUUCCCUGCCCAGCUCCUGGGGCUGCUAAUGCUCUGGGUCCCAGGAUCCAGUGGGGAUGUUGUGAUGACCCAGACUCCACCCUCUCUGCCCAUCAUCCCUGGAGAGACGGUCUCUAUCUCCUGCAAGUCUAGUCAGAGCCUCCUACACAGUAAUGGAAACACCUAUCUGCACUGGUUGCAGCAGAAGCCAGGCCAGGGUCCACAAGGCCUGAUAUACGACGUUUCUAACAGGGACUCUGGAGUCCCAGACAGGUUCAGUGGCAGUGGGUCAGGGACAGAUUUCACACUCAAAAUCAGCAGGGUGGAGCCUGAGGAUGUUGGAAUUUAUUUCUGUGUACAAGGUACACACAUUCCUCGCACAGUGAUACAGCCCUGA